CCCUUAGAUGUCCUGGGCCGCACGCGCGCUACACUGAGUGUCUGAGAUACGAGUCUGCCUGGUCCGGCAAGGUCUAGGUAAUCGCUAAAAGACACAUCAUGCUUGGGAUAGAUUAUUGCAAAUAUUAAUCUUGAACGAGGAAUUCCUAGUAAGCGCAAGUCAACAGCUUGCGUUGAUUACGUCCCUGCCCUUUGUACACACCGCCCGUCGCUACUACUGAUUGGAUGUUUAAGCGGGGUUCUCGAACUGCUAGCGACUUAGCUUCGGUGAGGUCACAGUGUGGGAAGUGAACCUAGCUUUGGUGUCUAGAGGAAGUAAAAGUCGUAACA
rnacentral:rRNA from 1 species